rfam:Triticum aestivum genome assembly, contig: Triticum_aestivum_CS42_TGACv1_scaffold_579100_7BL
GUACUGCUCCCUUCGUCUGGAAUUACUUGUAGUAGAAAUGGAUAUAUCUAGAUGUAUUUUAGUUGUAGAUAUAUUCAUUUUUAUCCAUUUAUACAACAAAUAAUUUCGGGCGGAGAGAGUACAUG